GACGAACGCUGGCGGCGUGCUUAACACAUGCAAGUCGAACGGAGUGGCGAACGGGUGAGUAACACGUGGGUGAUCUGCCUUGCACUUCGGGAUAAGCUUGGGAAACUGGGUCUAAUACCGGAUAGUGCAAGAUGAGGGCGGGGCCUAGCAGCUUGUUGGUGGGGUAAUGGCCUACCAAGGCGUCGACGGGUAGCCGGCCUGAGAGGGUGUACGGCCACAGUGGGACUGGGAGACGGCCCAGACGCCUACGGGAGGCAGCGGUGGGGAAUAUUGCGCAAAGGGCGGAGGCCUGGUGCAGCGACGCCGGGUGGGGAAGGAAGGCCGUCGGGUUGGAAACUCCUUUCGACAGGGACGCGGUACCUGUAUAGGAAGCACCGGCUAACUACGUGCCAGCAGCCGCGGUAAUAC
rnacentral:rRNA from 1 species